GACGAACGCUGGCGGCGUGCCUAAUACAUGCAAGUCGAACGAGAGCGACCGGUGCUUGCACCGGUCAAUCUAGUGGCGAACGGGUGAGUAACACGUGGGUAACCUGCCCAUCAGAGGGGGAUAACAUCCGGAAACGGAUGCUAAAACCGCAUAGGUCUUCGAACCGCAUGGUUUGAAGAGGAAAAGAGGCGCAAGCUUCUGCUGAUGGAUGGACCCGCGGUGCAUUAGCUAGUUGGUGAGGUAACGGCUCACCAAGGCCGUGAUGCAUAGCCGACCUGAGAGGGUGAUCGGCCACAUUGGGACUGAGACACGGCCCAAACUCCUACGGGAGGCAGCAGUAGGGAAUCUUCCGCAAUGGACGCAAGUCUGACGGAGCAACGCCGCGUGAGUGAAGAAGGUUUUCGGAUCGUAAAACUCUGUUGUUAGAGAAGAACAAGUGCUAGAGUAACUGUUAGCGCCUUGACGGUAUCUAACCAGAAAGCCACGGCUAACUACGUG
rnacentral:rRNA from 1 species